UUUAAAUCAGGGAGAAAAAAGCUUGCUACACUCUGAAAAGAUUUUUAUUUCAUGUAAUAAGCCCCACACUUUACAGAGUUUAAAAGCAAAAGCAUGAGAGAAUUAAGCAGACUUGGAAACAGUAAUGUCAUACCCCAGUGUACUAAAGAUUUAUGGAUGUUAUUUUAUAACUUGUUGAGUUUGAUGUGGAAUGAUCUCUGCUCUGUAACUACAGUAAUUAUUUUGUAAAGUACUCUAUUGUUAUGCUGUCACCCAUUAAGCAUGCUGCGUAGUGGUUAAAAAGUAUUUAGACAGACUGCACACCUGUAUGAAAUUCUUCCAGACUUUCCAGAGGGGCUGGGAGUCUGCAUUCACAAGGGUUUCUUCUUACAGCUUGUGGAAUCCUCAGAAACAUGAGCUUUCAGCUCCUGCUCCCACCAAAGAAUUUCCUCUUUGGAAGGCUGCUGUACCCUUUUCUGGCAAUUCUGGUGUGAGGCAGCAAUCUGCGUAAUAUCAGUUGUAUUGUCUUCAAGUGAGCCAUCUAAAGGACACUCAGGACUCACGUAACUGCAACUGGAGCUGUUCUCCAGCUCCCCGAACAGGCACCCAGACAAGCCUGGACGCCGCCAGUCAUCAUUCCAGACAUGAUGUAGUUUGGUUUUUGCUGUGAUGGAAAGAAACGCUUCUCACUG